rnacentral:rRNA from 1 species
GACGUAGGGCGCGAGCGCUGUCCGGAUUUAUUGGGCGUAAAGAGCGUGUAGGCGGCCAUGUAGGUCCGUUGUGAAAACUCGAGGCUCAACCUCGAGACGCCGAUGGAAACCAUGUGGCUAGAGUCCGGAAGAGGAGAGUGGAAUUCCUGGUGUAGCGGUGAAAUGCGCAGAUAUCAGGAAGAACACCCGUGGCUAAGGCGGCUCUCUAGUACGGUACUGACGCUGAGACGCGAAAGCGUGGGGAGCGAACAGG